rnacentral:rRNA from 1 species
GAACGGGCUUGGAAGAAUCAGCGGGGAAAGAAGCCCCUGUUGAGCUUGACUCUAGUCUGUUACUGUGGAACGACUUGAUGGGUGUAGAAUAUGCGGGAGGGGCAACCCGCCAGUGAAAUACCGCAACCGUCAACGUUGUUUUACUUACUCGGUGGUGCGGAGAGGGCCUCGGCUCGCUUCUGGAUCCAAGCCGCCUCGCGCGCGCGAUCCGCGUCGGGGACACUAACAGGUGGGGAGUUUGGCUGGGGCGGCACGUCUGUUAAAAAAUAACGCAGGCGCCCGAUUUUGAGCUCAAUGAGAACAGAAAUCUCAUGUGGACCGAAAGGGGAAAAGCUCGGUUGAUUUUGAUUUUCAGUACGAAUACAAACCGCGAAAGCGUGGCCUAUCGAUCCUCUCGUCUUUGGGAAUUUCAAGCUAGAGGUGUCAGAAAAGUUACCACAGGGAUAACUGGCUUGUGGCAGCCAAGCGAUCAUAGCGACGUUGCUUUUUGAUUCUUCGAUGUCGGCUCUUCCUAUCAUUGUGAAGCAGAAUUCACCAAGCGUUGGAUUGUUCACCCACUAAUAGGGAACGUGAGCUGGGUUUAGA